UCAAUAUUUCAGGGUGCAAUGAUAAAUGUGCACCAACCUGCAUCACAAUCAGAGGAGCAACUAACAGCCAUAGCGCCACCACAGCUCACAUGCCCACUG
rnacentral:lncRNA from 1 species